rnacentral:tRNA from 1 species
AAGGGUAUGGCUCGGUGGUAGAGCAUGUGCUUAACAUGCACAAGGUAUCCUGGGUUCAAUCCCCAGUGCCUCCA